GUGCCAGCCGCCGCGGUAAGACGGAGGGUGCUAACGUUGCUCGGAAUUACUGGGCGUAAAGCGCGUGUAGGCGGGACGGCAAGCGAGAUGUGAAAUCCCUUGGCUCAACUGAGGAAGUGCAUUUCGAACUGCCGACCUUGAGUGCGGGAGAGGGAGGUAGAAUUCCCGGUGUAGAGGUGAAAUUCGUAGAUAUCGGGAGGAAUACCGGUGGCGAAGGCGGCCUCCUGGACCGACACUGACGCUGAGACGCGAAAGCGUGGGGAGCAAACAGGAUUAGAAACCCCAGUAGUCC
rnacentral:rRNA from 1 species